AGGCUGAAAUUGAAUAUUCUACUCAGGGACUCUAGACACCGUAAGUAGAAAGGGCAGUGAAAAGAGGGUUAUCAUCCUCCAGGCCCCAGGUCCACACUCACCUCCAUACCGAUCUGCUCCCCCUGUGAGCUCAUGCCUUGCUGGCUUGUUGGCUGAGUUUUGGGGUUCUGGCUGGGAGAGGAGUUCUGGACAACUUAAUGCACACACACACACACACACGUACUAUUCAUCCAGCUGGAGUGAGACGCC